UACGAGAGGUCCAAACGUUAUUCGGAAUCAUUGGGCGUAAAGAGCUCGUAGGUGGCCUAGUAAGUCAGGUGUGAAAGCCCAGGGCUCAACCCUGGAAGUGCACUUGAAACUGCAUGGCUUGAGUACGGUAGAGGUGAGUGGAAUUCCUGGUGUAGUGGUGAAAUACGUAGAUAUCAGGAGGAACAUCGGUGGCGAAGGCGGCUCACUGGACCAGUACUGACACUGAGGAGCGAAAGCAUGGGGAUCAAACAGG
rnacentral:rRNA from 1 species